rnacentral:rRNA from 1 species
GGCGGACGGGUGAGUAAUGCCUAGGAAUCUGCCUGGUAGUGGGGGAUAACGUUCCGAAAGGAACGCUAAUACCGCGUACGUCCUACGGGAGAAAGCAGGGGACCUUCGGGCCUUGCGCUAUCAGAUGAGCCUAGGUCGGAUUAGCUAGUUGGUGAGGUAAUGGCUCACCAAGGCGACGAUCCGUAACUGGUCUGAGAGGAUGAUCAGUCACACUGGAACUGAGACACGGUCCAGACUCCUACGGGAGGCAGCAGUGGGGAAUAUUGGACAAUGGGCGAAAGCCUGAUCCAGCCAUGCCGCGUGUGUGAAGAAGGUCUUCGGAUUGUAAAGCACUUUAAGUUGGGAGGAAGGGCUGUAGGCUAAUAUCCUGCAGUUUUGACGUUACCAACAGAAUAAGCACCGGCUAACUUCGUGCCAGCAGCCGCGGUAAUACGAAGGGUGCAAGCGUUAAUCGGAAUUACUGGGCGUAAAGCGCGCGUAGGUGGUUCGUUAAGUUGGAUGUGAAAGCCCCGGGCUCAACCUGGGAACUGCAUCCAAAACUGGCGAGCUAGAGUACGGUAGAGGGUAGUGGAAUUUCCUGUGUAGCGGUGAAAUGCGUAGAUAUAGGAAGGAACACCAGUGGCGAAGGCGACUACCUGGACUGAUACUGACACUGAGGUGCGAAAGCGUGGGGAGCAAACAGGAUUAGAUACCCUGGUAGUCCACGCCGUAAACGAUGUCAACUAGCCGUUGGAAUCCUUGAGAUUUUAGUGGCGCAGCUAACGCAUUAAGUUGACCGCCUGGGGAGUACGG